GUUAUGCAAAUACUCACUGACGGCCAUGAAGGAAAUGUGACGUGCAGGAGGGAAACAAGAAAGACAAACAAAAUCAAUGCUUUGUUGAGUCGAUGUGAAUUCAUCAACUUGUUAUAUAAUGAGACUAAGAGGUGCAUCGCCAACCUACAUACACACUUUGGAGGACUGCAUCAGCCAAUUGAGCCUACCUUUCACCUUUGGUCUUUAAGGAGGCUGGAUAAAGAUGAGCCGCAACGAUAGAAAGAACCUGAAGCUGAACAUAUCUCCAAAGCAAAUGAGGGCUAGAGGUGGGCCAUCGACAAGGAUGGAAGUGGAAGAGGAUGAGGAUUCCUCCUCGUCGUCACCAUCGAUUUCACCGCCGAGCUCGUGCGUGUCAUCUGAGGAGGAACAAAAAUCCAACAGCCCGGAGGCAACAUCAAUGGUGCUUGCUGGAUGUCCUCGGUGCCUCAUGUAUGUGAUGCUGUCGGAGAUGGAACCCAAAUGCCCCAAGUGCCAAAGCACACUUCUGCUUGACUUCCAACAUGACAACAACAGGAGAAAAUGAGAUGAUGAUGCCGUCCUUAGGUGCAUGCAGGCACAGUAGGUCUGCUCUACCAGUCCUAGUUAGUUCAAUCAUUUUGUAAUAGGUCCUCCAAACUUCUCUCUAGAAUUCUAGCAACUUCUCUCACGGAUUCUAUCUAUAUCUUGUUUGUGCCUUAGUUUUUGCUCUCCCUAGCUUAUUUUGUUGAUGAAGACAAUGUAUAUCAACGAACCUGAUUGGCCCAAGAUUUCAAAUCAAAGCUAAUAUAUCUAGUACUUUACGACUUAAA